AUUGAACGCUGGCGGCAGGCUUAACACAUGCAAGUCGAGCGGAGAUGAGGUGCUUGCACCUUAUCUUAGCGGCGGACGGGUGAGUAAUGCUUAGGAAUCUGCCUAUUAGUGGGGGACAACAUUCCGAAAGGAAUGCUAAUACCGCAUACGUCCUACGGGAGAAAGCAGGGGAUCUUCGGACCUUGCGCUAAUAGAUGAGCCUAAGUCGGAUUAGCUAGUUGGUGGGGUAAAGGCCUACCAAGGCGACGAUCUGUAGCGGGUCUGAGAGGAUGCUCCGCCACACUGGGACUGGGCAACGGCCCAGACUCCUACGGGAGGCAGCAGUGGGGAAUAUUGGACAAUGGGGGGAACCCUGAUCCAGCCAUGCCGCGUGUGUGAAGAAGGCCUUAUGGUUGUAAAGCACUUUAAGCGAGGAGGAGGCUACUGAGACUAAUACUCUUGGAUAGUGGACGUUACUCGCAGAAUAAGCACCGGCUAACUCUGUGCCAGCCGCCGCCGUAACAC
rnacentral:rRNA from 1 species